UACGAAGGGGGCUAGCGUUGUUCGGAUUUACUGGGCGUAAAGCGCGUGUAGGCGGGCCGUUAAGUUGGGGGUGAAAGCCCGAGGCUCAACCUCGGAACUGCCUUCAAAACUGGCGGCCUGGAGCAGAUGAGAGGCGAGUGGAAUUCCGAGUGUAGAGGUGAAAUUCGUAGAUAUUCGGAAGAACACCAGUGGCGAAGGCGGCUCACUGGCCCGGUACUGACGCUGAGGUGCGAAAGCGUGGGUAGCAAACGGG
rnacentral:rRNA from 1 species